rnacentral:rRNA from 1 species
CGCGGCCUAUCAGCUUGUUGGUGAGGUAACGGCUCACCAAGGCGUCGACGGGUAGCCGGCCUGAGAGGGUGACCGGCCACACUGGGACUGAGACACGGCCCAGACUCCUACGGGAGGCAGCAGUGGGGAAUAUUGCACAAUGGGCGCAAGCCUGAUGCAGCAACGCCGCGUGAGGGACGACGGCCUUCGGGUUGUAAACCUCUUUUAGCAGGGAAGAAGCGAAAGUGACGGUACCUGCAGAAAAAGCGCCGGCUAACUACGUGCCAGCAGCCGCGGUAAUACGUAGGGCGCAAGCGUUAUCCGGAAUUAUUGGGCGUAAAGAGCUCGUAGGCGGUUUGUCGCGUCUGCUGUGAAAACCCGAGGCUCAACCUCGGGCCUGCAGUGGGUACGGGCAGACUAGAGUGCGGUAGGGGAGAUUGGAAUUCCUGGUGUAGCGGUGGAAUGCGCAGAUAUCAGGAGGAACGCCGAUGGCGAAGGCAGAUCUCUGGGCCGUAACUGACGCUGAGGAGCGAAAGGGUGGGGAGCAAACAGGCUUAGAUACCCUGGUAGUCCACCCCGUAAACGUUGGGAACUAGUUGUGGGGACCAUUCCACGGUUUCCGUGACGCAGCUAACGCAUUAAGUUCCCCGCCUGGGGAGUACGG